rnacentral:rRNA from 1 species
CCGGCACGGGUGAGUAACACGUAUCCAACCUGCCGUCUACUCUUGGACAGCCUUCUGAAAGGAAGAUUAAUACAAGAUGGCAUCAUGAGUCCGCAUGUUCACAUGAUUAAAGGUAUUCCGGUAGACGAUGGGGAUGCGUUCCAUUAGAUAGUAGGCGGGGUAACGGCCCACCUAGUCUUCGAUGGAUAGGGGUUCUGAGAGGAAGGUCCCCCACACUGGAACUGAGACACGGUCCAA